CCUACGGGAGGCAGCAGUGAGGGAUAUUGGUCAAUGGGGGAAACCCUGAACCAGCAACGCCGCGUGAGGGAAGACGGUUUUCGGAUUGUAAACCUCUGUCCUCUGUGAAGAUAAUGACGGUAGCAGAGGAGGAAGCUCCGGCUAACUACGUGCCAGCAGCCGCGGUAAUACGUAGGGAGCAAGCGUUGUCCGGAUUUACUGGGUGUAAAGGGUGCGUAGGCGGCUUUAUAAGUCAGAAGUGAAAUCCAUGGGCUUAACCCAUGAACUGCUUUUGAAACUGUAGAGCUUGAGUGGAGUAGAGGUAG
rnacentral:rRNA from 1 species